UACGGAGGGGGCAAGCGUUGUUCGGAAUUACUGGGCGUAAAGGGCUCGUAGGCUGCCCACUAAGUCGGACGUGAAAUCCCUCGGCUUAACCGGGGAACUGCGUCUGAUACUGGAUGGCUUGAGUUUGGGAGAGGGAUGCGGAAUUCCAGGUGUAGCGGUGAAAUGCGUAGAUAUCUGGAGGAACACCGGUGGCGAAGGCGGCAUCCUGGACCAACACUGACGCUGAUGAGCGAAAGCCAGGGGAGCAAACGGG
rnacentral:rRNA from 1 species